rnacentral:rRNA from 1 species
AUGGCCUCCGACAUGAAGGAUUCCUCCGACGCAGAGGAGGUCGAGGUAUGCAGCGGCGACAGGUACUCUGACGACUCCUCACCCCGCCACCGUGACGACGCCCCCCGUCGCACGGUCGUGCACCUGUACCGGUACGCCAACGUGCCUGGGCAGCAGAACUACUACUCCAUCGAUGGCUACUCGGAUCUGAGCACGUCAAGGGACAUGGCGCUGGGAAGCCACAGUAGCAGCGGCGGCCACAGGUGUGCUGUUGCGUACGUCGAGGGGGAGGAGCACUGGGACUCUGCAGGCAGCUCGUGGUUCUCAAGCCAGGUGGCGUGGCGGAGCAAUGGGUGGGUAUGCAUCUGA